GACGAACGCUGGCGGCGUGCCUAAUACAUGCAAGUCGAACGCUUUUUCUUUCACCGGAGCUUGCUCCACCGAAAGAAAAAGAGUGGCGAACGGGUGAGUAACACGUGGGUAACCUGCCCAUCAGAAGGGGAUAACACUUGGAAACAGGUGCUAAUACCGUAUAACACUAUUUUCCGCAUGGAAGAAAGUUGAAAGGCGCUUUUGCGUCACUGAUGGAUGGACCCGCGGUGCAUGAGCUAGUUGGUGAGGUAACGGCUCACCAAGGCAACGAUGCAGAGCCGACCUGGGGGGGUGAUCGGCCACAGUGGGAGUGAGACACGGCCCAGACUCCUACGGGAGGCAGCAGUAGGGAAUCUUCGGCAAUGGACGAAAGUCUGACCGAGCAACGCCGCGUGAGUGAAGAAGGUUUUCGGAUCGUAAAACUCUGUUGUUAGAGAAGAACAAGGAUGAGAGUAAAACGUUCAUCCCUUGACGGUAUCUAACCAGAAAGCCACGGCUAACUACGUGCCAGCCGCCGCAGUAA
rnacentral:rRNA from 1 species